rnacentral:rRNA from 1 species
UGAGCAAUCUGCCCUUCUCAUCGGAAUAAGCGUUGGAAACGACGUCUAAUGCCGAAUACGACCUCCUUUCGCGUGAUCGGAGGUGGAAAGCUCCGGCGGAGAAGGAUGAGCUCGCGGCCUAUCAGCUAGUUGGUGUGGGUAACGGCCCACCAAGGCGACGACGGGUAGCCGGCCUGAGAGGGUGACCGGCCACACUGGGACUGAGACACGGCCCAGACUCCUACGGGAGCAGCAGG